AUUCUUGAAUUUGAUGGUGCCUCCAAAGGGAAUCCUGGGAAAUCAGGCGCCGGCGUGAUAAUAAGGCGACCAGACGGAUCCGUGAUCGCUCAGCUACGCGAGGGCUUGGGCAUUGCGACGUGUAACGCCGCUGAGUGUCGCGCAUUGCUCCUGGGGUUGAGAUAUGCUGCCAACAAGGGAUUCAAGUAUGUCCGUGCUCAAGGCGAUUCUAAGCUCGUCUGUAACCAGGUCCAGGAUCUCUGGCGCGCUAGGAAUGCUAAUUUGGCGGACUUGUGCAAGAAAGCUAAGGAGCUCAAGGGAAAGUUUCUUCAGUUUCAAAUCAACCAUGCUUUGAGGAAAUUUAAUGCAGAUGCUGAUGCCCAAGCUAACUUUGCUGUUGAACUUGCUGUUGGUGAAGUUCAGGAGCAGUCAAACUUCCCAGGCUAG
rnacentral:rRNA from 1 species